rnacentral:rRNA from 1 species
GGACGAACGCUGGCGGCGCGCUUAACACAUGCAAGUCGAACGGAAAGGCCUGCUUUCCCUUGUGGAUUGCGGGUACUCGAGUGGCGAACGGGUGAGUAACACGUGAGUGAUCUGCCCCCAACUUGGGUAUAAGCCUGGGAAACUGGGUCUAAUUCCCGAUAGGACUGCAGGGUGGUGCCUGUGGUGGAAAACGAUUUUCUAGUGGUUGGGGAUGAGCUCGCGGCCUAUCAGCUUGUUGGUGGGGUAAUGGCCUACCAAGGCGGCGAUGGGUAGCCGGCCUGAGAGGGUGGACGGCCACAUUGGGACUGAGAUACGGCCCAGACUCCUACGGGAGGCAGCAGUGGGGAAUAUUACACAAUGGGCGGAAGCCUGAUGCAGCGACGCCGCGUGGGGGAUGACGGCCUUCGGGUUGUAAACUCCUUUCGACCGCGAGGAAGCCACCUGGUUGGAAGGGUGGUGACGGUAGUGGUAGAAGAAGCACCGGCUAACUACGUG